rnacentral:rRNA from 1 species
CACGUAGGGGGCAAGCGUUGUCCGGAUUUAUUGGGCGUAAAGAGCUCGUAGGCGGUUCGGUAAGUCGGGUGUGAAACCUCCAGGCUCAACCUGGAGAGGCCACCUGAUACUGCUGUGACUCGAGUCCGGUAGGGGAGCGUGGAAUUCCCGGUGUAGCGGUGAAAUGCGCAGAUAUCGGGAAGAACACCCGUGGCGAAGGCGGCUCUCUGGAACGGUACUGACGCUGAGACGCGAAAGCGUGGGGAGCAACAGG